AAGGCAGUGGAACCCUCACCAGCUGGAUUACAAAGAGCACAGAUGGACAGCAAGUGGAGAGUGAUAGAUGAGAUGAGGAGAUGAAGGAGGAAGACGACAAGGCCACCUCACAACAGUGAUGUAGGAGAUGUGUAGAGUGUGAUGUCCGACCAGUCUGCCGUUUGCUGUAAAGAAGGGAGUUCCAAAGCUCCUCAUAGAUGCUGUGAGGAGCAAACAACCGACGUGGUUAAAGGCUGGUCGCGGAGUCCCGAUUAUUAUUUAUCUGUUUACUUGUUGUUGUUUUUUUAUUAUAGAUAUUUUUUUAUUGUUUAUAUGUUAUAAGUGUAAUCCAAAAUGUCAUGCCAUAAACUAUCUCUAGCCGUUUUAUUGCUGGUGACAGUCAACUGAUAAACAUAAUCAGUCAAAGUCUAUCAUGAGACCAAUCCCUUCACUGGAAAUGACAAUUAAUCUUUCAAUGACCUGUAGCUUGCAGAUGUAAGCUUUCCAUCCACUAACAGUAUAAAAACCAAAUCGGGCUGUUCGAAGCACUGAGUAUUAAAGCUGAAAAUCCUUUUUAUGUUUUUAUGAUUCACAAAAGAUGCAGUGGCCGUGUUUUUCCCUAUUUUCGCUCACUUUAGGGUUUGUUCACAGUUAAUGUUGCCCUCUUGUGGUUCUUUUCUGAAGAAUACCAUGAUACCAGUUACGUUGCGCUGUUUUCAGAUUAAAGUACCCCAAAAUGCUGAAAAACAAAAACAAAAAAUAACUAAACAAACUAAGAAAAGAAAACAGCAUAUUGGAUCAUAAAAUACAGCUGCUGUUGGGCUUUAACAAGACUACAAAUGAUGAAGAUUUGCAACAUGGCAUAUUGACCUUCCUUUAAGACUCCAAGGUGAGGAUGUCUAAUUUUUGUAAAUUCUGCUGCCUCAACUCCUCCGCACAUCUCUGACAGGAGGGCUAAAAAUGUGAUGACAGGGGUCAAGGAUAGCGUUUGAAGGGGUGGGCAGACUGUGUGUGUGUGUGUGUGUGUGUGUGUGUGUGUGUGUUCGGUGCUGGUGUCACAACUGAAAACAAAGCUUGUCUGCCCUCUCUGAAGAAGAAAACUCUCCCAGAUGAUUUACUCCACAGCUGCCUACAACUCUUGAUUUAAACAUGAUCACAUCCCUGGAGAGUUUCUUUAAGGGAACUCUGUUGACCACUGAUGAUGGUCCACACCCUCUGAGCUGGCCAUAGCCAUCAAUAUGCCCAAAUAGCAGCCACGGGGAAGUUGAUGUCACGCAGGGAGCCCAUGCGUGCUAUGGGGUGGUGAACAGGCUUGACUUAGUGGUUAUGUUUUUGAAUCUUUCCAACAAUGUGCUGCAGAUUUAUUGGUUAAAACAGAAACUUCUUCAAACAAUGCUCCCGAUUUAAACUUCUCCUAAAGUCCAGCUGUGUGCCAAUGUCUCAUAUGAUACUGAUUUCUGAUAUCAGUGUAUACAUUAAGCUGUGUUUUUAUGGUUUUA